UAGUGUAUCAGAGGACGUAGCAGAGAAUUAUGAUGAUGUCAUCACUGCUGCUCAGAGCUCAGCUGUUGUAACAGAAGACAUGACAGAUAACUAUGAUGAUGCUGUUACUGCUGGACCAAACUCCAACAUUAUGACAGUGGACACACCAGAGAACUAUAAUGAUGUCAUCACUGCUGGAC